UACGUAGGGGGCAAGCGUUGUCCGGAUUGACUGGGCGUUAAGGGAGCGUAGGCGGUUUGGUAAGUCAGAUGUGAAAGCCCACAGCUUAACUGUGGAAUUGCAUUUGAUACUGCUAGACUUGAGUUCAGGAGAGGUAAGUAGAAUUCCUAGUGUAGCGGUGGAAUGCGUAGAUAUUAGGAGGAAUACCAGUGGCGAAGGCGGCUUACUGGAAUGACACUGACGCUGAGGCUCGAAAGCGUGGGGAGCAAAC
rnacentral:rRNA from 1 species